GCGGAGGAAAGGAAACCAACUGGGAUUACCUUAGUAACGGCGAAGUGAAGCGGUAAAAGCUCAAAUUUGAAAUCUGGUACUUUCAGUGCCCGAGUUGUAAUUUGUAGAAUUUGUCUUUGAUUAGGUCCUUGUCUAUGUUCCUUGGAACAGGACGUCAUAGAGGGUGAGAAUCCCGUUUGGCGAGGAUACCUUUUCUCUGUAAGACUUUUUCGAAGAGUCGAGUUGUUUGGGAAUGCAGCUCAAAGUGGGUGGUAAAUUCCAUCUAAAGCUAAAUAUUGGCGAGAGACCGAUAGCGAACAAGUACAGUGAUGGAAAGAUGAAAAGAACUUUGAAAAGAGAGUGAAAAAGUACGUGAAAUUGUUGAAAGGGAAGGGCAUUUGAUCAGACAUGGUGUUUUUUGCAUGCACUCGCCUCUCGUGGGCUUGGGCCUCUCAAAAAUUUCACUGGGCCAACAUCAAUUCUGGCAGCAGGAUAAAUCAUUAAGAAUGUAGCUACUUCGGUAGUGUUAUAGCUUUUUGGAAUACUGUUAGCCGGGAUUGAGGACUGCGCUUCGGCAAGGAUGUUGGCAUAAUGGUUAAAUGCCGCCCGUCUU
rnacentral:rRNA from 1 species